rnacentral:rRNA from 1 species
UACGGAGGGUGCAAGCGUUAAUCGGAUUUAUUGGGCGUAAAGAGCACGUAGGCUGAGUGGAAAGUUAGAUGUGAAAUCCCGGGGCUCAACUUCGGACCCGCAUCUAAUACUGCCAUUCUAGAGGAUGGACGGAGAAAAGGGAAUUCCACGUGUAGCGGUGAAAUGCGUAGAUAUGUGGAAGAACCCCAGUGGCGGAGGCGCUUUUCUAGUUUAUACCUGACGCUGAGGUGCGAAAGCAAGGGGAGCAAACAGG